rnacentral:rRNA from 1 species
GAUGAACGCUGGCGGCGUGCCUAAUACAUGCAAGUCGAGCGAACAGACGAGGAGCUUGCUCCUCUGACGUUAGCGGCGGACGUGUGAGUAACACGUGGAUAACCUACCUAUAAGACUGGGAUAACUUCGGGAAACCGGAGCUAAUACCGGAUAAUAUAUUGAACCGCAUGGUUCAAUAGUGAAAUACGGUUUUGCUGUCACUUAUAGAUGGAUCCGCGCCGCAUUAGCUAGUUGGUAAGGUAACGGCUUACCAAGGCAACGAUGCGUAGCCGACCUGAGAGGGUGAUCGGCCACACUGGAACUGAGACACGGUCCAGACUCCUACGGGAGGCAGCAGUAGGGAAUCUUCCGCAAUGGGCGAAAGCCUGACGGAGCAACGCCGCGUGAGUGAUGAAGGUCUUCGGAUCGUAAAACUCUGUUAUUAGGGAAGAACAAAUGUGUAAGUAACUAUGCACGUCUUGACGGUAACUAAUCAGAAAGCCACGGCUAACUACGUG